UAUGACUGUGACUAGAAUUCUACUGAGAAAAAGAUUAGACUGCCAAAACUAUUUUACUAAUGAAAAGCAAAACCAUCAUCUUUGUCUCAUUAUGCUUGUCACAACAGUAAAAGUUCAUACCACAUAACUAUUUUAGUUUAUUCUUCUGUUUUUCUAGAAAUUGCAACUUCAUUCAAAACAGAUGCAAUCAAAAACAAAACAAAACAAAAAAAAAUCAAAACAAAACAAAAAAAAACGCCCCCAAAAAUCACCUCAAACACUAUGUGAAUCAAAACAAAGUGAAUAUUUCAAACCCUUUUUUGUGAAAAUCACUUGGUCUUAAGGUUGUUAGUAAAUGUAAGUAAUUAAAAAUUAGAGUCCUAUGAGUAAGUGUUAUUUCAUAAUGCCAGGCUAAAGACAAAGACAAGAGAGCAAUUGUACAGUUGUAGAGUUCUCCUUAAAGUAGCAAACCAGCAACUCAUAAACACAUUAGGAAAAAUAUGAAUAAUUUAGAUGUCAAGCUGACACAUACUGGACUAGCUUUCCUACCUCUUAAAAUUCAGAAGUCUGUACAGGUCUUAUAGUAUGAUUCAGAUCUCAUAAUUGAAUGAAACAAACUUAAUCAGAGGCAUUCAUUAAAUAACAAUUCUGUUAAAGAGAUAAUUAAAAAUGACAAAUUUAAGACCUACUUUCUUUUUCUCUAUCAUUCUAUGAAAAGUUCUACAAAGGCGUAGUUUGCUAAUUGAAUCUUGUGAUCCAAAUCAAUGUUUCAGGCACAUAAUUGCUUGGUGUUUUGCUCUUCUUGAAGAAAUCAUUGAAAUUUCCAUGAGAAUUGAGGAUGUACCUCCUUUUUAUUACUUUUUCAAACUAUCUUCUCAUUUAAGAGGUUGAUAAUGUCUUUUUCUGUACUGUCUUAAAAAGGAAUGGACUAAAAGCAGGAAAGAGAAUUUGGAGUAUAUAGAGAUUGGGUUUGCUUAAAAUUGUCUAUUUGAGAGAUUCUUUCAGGCGUAAGCUGGUCUUUAGUUUAAGUACAACAUAGUACUUAACUGCACUUUCAUUUUUGUCCCUGUUCAUGGAAGGACAAAAACACAUAUUCUACGUUGAGGGUGUAUUUCUGCAAUUUUGCACAACUACUUAAGUUUUGGUUUCCUCCCUUUUUCCUCCUUUCUUUUAUGUACCAAAUAAUGUCUUAAUAAUUAGUGAAGACUCUGUUUAGGUGUUUUCACUGCUUCUUCCUGAUGUAGAUAAUUUCUGCAACCAUGUAAAGAAUGAAAUAUUAUUUUGUCUUGCAUGCUGCUGUGAAUGGAAGUGACUACUGUCUAUCUUUGAGAAGCUUCAUCAUCAAAAGAUUAGAUGAAAACUUGAUUUGUUAAAAAAUACAGAAUGUAUUUAACAUAUUUUCAUAGAUGGAUAGAGUUUUUUCUUCAAAACUGCAAAUAAGGCUGACUGCAGUGCAUCAUUCUUAAUGAUAAGGGAAAUUACAGACUAGAAGUCAUCCAUUCUGGUGAAAAAUUCCACCAUCCUAUUUUUAUAAUAUUUUUAAGGGGUAUACUUAAAAUUUCUGGUUUAUUCAAGAAGGUUUUCUAGUUUAGUCAAUAACAGAUCUAGAUUUCUUGCUUGAAGUGCAUAAGUCUCCUCUGGUCAAUUCACUGCUUUUCUGUUUGUCUGUUUUACUUUGGGUAUUUUUCAUGUUUCUAGCACUCUUGUCAUUACAGAAAUCUGACAGGUCUGAUGUGACAUGUCUUUAUGACAUCACUGGGAUACUAAUAAGAGGGGGGGAAAAAUCAAUUUGACUCUCAUUUAACUAAAGUUGAAUCAUUAUUACAGAAUUUUUUUACUAAUUGCCCAAAACAAUUUUUCCAGCUGCUGGUUCCUACCAUCCUGUUUCCCAGUUGGCAAAUGGAAAAGCUAAGAACAAGUGGCACAGAGACUGCAGUUUCUGUACUUUACCAGAAACUUUCUCUUUGUUUUAGUACCUUGUAUUAAUACUUACUUUUUCUGAUUUGUGAUUGACUACUUGUAUGCUCUAUUAUUUUGAGAAAUUACUUAGGUAGCCACAGUUUGAGAUUAGCACAUCCUAAGAAAUGUGACUAGCAAUUCAGUUGUAGUUAUUUAGCUUCAAGUUGCUAGCAGCUUGUUAACCAUUUCCUAGCAGUGGGACUUCAAUUCCAUGUGAGGAGGGUUCUGUGGAUUUUCCAGUUUUCAGAAAAGUUUUCCAGAGACAAUACUACCAUGGGCUGCAGAUAGUAAAGGUGGACAGAUAUUGAACCUUGCAGCAGUUUGGGUGCCAUGCUUAUUUUCACAUUCUGCCCUGUAACUCCGAGACGUUUGGCAUCUACCCAUCACAACUUUGCUCAGACAGUGUUAUGGGGGCAUAGUUAAAAAUCACCAUUUUCAUACCUGUGUUUUUGUGUACUGUGGUUACUCUUCUCUGACUGCUCUAACAUGUCUUGGUGGCAUCAGUAACCCCCUGAAAGUUGGGAGUAAUGGGAUAACGAUGCCUGGAUAUGCCUCUUCUCUGUGCCUACUCUCCUGGCAGUCUACACCGGUGGCUGUCAAGCUGAAUUAAGCAUACCCAUAGACUAGAAACCCCUGAAACUGAAAUAUCUUCCAACUGGCAUUCUGACUGCUUUACAGCUUUGCAUUCUCUUUAUGCUAGACGUAAAGACAUAGACAAAAACUCACUGACUUCAUAUCUCAAUGUCUCCAUUACUUUUACAAGAGAGGUGACAUGAAGACACAAAAACAUAUCACCAUCAUGGAAAAUUCCCAGAACUUUGAGUCAUGACAGAAUGGUAAGUAUACAUGGUCUCUGCAUGGGAUAAGCCACUUAAGUAUCCAUUUGUAAAAUUUUAUCAUCUAAAACUCUUUAAGCAUAGUCCUAUGCCCUGAAAAAAAAUCUAUCCCAACUAUCUCUGAAAUUUCUGGGGUUAAUAUGAGGGUGGCAAGAUUUACAAUAUCAAACUAUCUCCUGUUGUGUAUGAACAGCGAUAAACUCCUAAGUACAACUGGAGCACAACCUUUAUUAGACAUUACCUGACUAGGCUUGUUCUUCUAUUGUAGCUCAAGAUUAAAGCAUUUGUUGCAACAUUUUUUAAAGUAAUCCUCUCUCUAGCUGACUCAUAACAGCUGUUAAAUAACUAGAUAUUUAGCUUAAGAUGAACUGAACCUAUAAAUUUAAAAGUGAUAUAAUAACCAACCCUUUAUGCAUAGCAAAAUACUUCUGGCAUUGUCUGAAUGCUUCAUGCUGAUGUCACUAUCUCCAUUUGAUUGAACUGAUAUAAUACAACAGCUGACAAAAGAUGAUACCAAUGGUGAUUAUGUAUUUCUGAUGCAUUAUGGAGGAGGAAAGGCACCACAUAGGAGCGAGAGGCACCAUGUGGUGGGAGAUGGAAAAGCUGACAGAAUGUUUUUGAAAUGUCCAAAAGAUUGUUCAGAGUUUGUUGCUAAAUGUUUCAUGGCAACACAUGCAAAAAGUACACAUGCUGUUUUUCCAUAUUUUCUUUACCCCCUUUGCCAGUUAUUGGGUAGUCUCUCUUUCCUCUGACAGAGCUGUCCAUAAAAUCAUAGCUUUGUUAUUAAUAAAAUGGUAGUAUAUUCUCCUUUUGUUUUCCCUGCCCUCUUAGGGGGUUCUGAUUUGUCAGAAACUUCUUAACAGUAAUACUGCCUGGUGCUCCUGCAGAAGCUCAUUCUUUCUUGACCAUAGUGCCUUGGAAGUGUUGACUUUUCUGAUGGGAGAGGCUGACACAUAGAUAAGUGAAGUGACUCAUGUAGGGCAGAUUCAGUCUUUUUAUUCAUAGCUGCCUCCUAACUUACAUCACAAGGAAACCUCAUACUUUUUUUUCCCCAAUGAAGAGAGAAUAUGCAUAUAGAGGCUUUUAUUAAAACAAAACUGUGUAAAAACUCAAACAGAUGAAAAAAAAAAAAACUUUUCUUCCAUCUUGUUGACAAAAGUAACUUGCUUCCUUUUCACAUAUUCUCUUGAUUUAAUUUGCACUGGUCCUAAGCUCUCCUGUAACCUUUGCAGUAAUAUUUGAAAAGAAAUAAUUUACUGUUGGAAUUAAAUUUAGCAGGUGAGAGGAGUUUUUUCUAUGUGCACAGGUUUCAUGAAGACUGAAGUAAAAUUACAAUUUUAAAGAUCACAGGAACAUUCCUGAAACCUUUUAAAAAGACACUCAUCUUUAAGCCUGGACUUGAAGUUUAAUGAUUUGACUAAUGUGUUGUCUCAGCGCAGACCUGAAUUCAUGAGAUAAUAAUUAAUACCCAGAAGUGAAAACACUCAGUUUUGUUCUUCCCACAGUAAACAUGAGAGCACCAGCGUGGGCACCAGUGGCUUCAGCACCUGUAAUUUCCUUCUCUUUUGAGCUACAUUUGUAUUGUUGGAAAGUCUAAGAGUUCUUAAUUUCACUAUACUCUGUGCAAACAUGGAGUAAAAUAACAGCUUUUUUGAGACCUGUGCACAAUAAGGCAGUAACACAGAUGUCAUGACACUAAUGUGAGCCAGCUGAUAGUAAAUCUCACGCAUAAUGUGUUGUUCUCCCUGGAGUGUAAGGGACAACCAGAGAGAAAUCUAAAGAUGUUCACCUGGAAAUGAGGUGGAGGAAAUUCUGGCACUGUGAACUACUCUGCAUUAUCAACCACCGUAUUGAUAAGAGAGAAGUAGAGACUGGUAUGUGAAAAAACCUUGAUAGUGACAAGAAGUCACUUAUAUUUGGUAAGAAAGACAGAGAAAGAAAGAAGGGGUAUGGUAUUACAAAGACUGAAGUCAUCUAAGCUCAAAUAUUAGAAUGUAGUAUUUUGUAGCAGCAAAGCAGGAAUGGAAAGGGCUGGUCUAAACUCCUGCUUGCAAGUCAUAAAUAAUAAUGUUGUGAUGAAUGUGUGGGAUUUUAAGAGUUGAAGAAAUCAAAUGUAUUGUUUGGAAUAGCCACAUCCCUGAGAAAGAGAAAACAGACAAAGGGAUGAAAGAGAUGAUCAAUAUUACAGAUUGAAUGUCUGUGAAGCAGGUAAGCAUAAAGGAAGGAAAGUAGGGAAAGUCUGCCAAAACAGAGGCUCAAAACCUCCCAAAGAGAUGUGACUGACAGAGACAGGACAAGACUUUUUUUUUUUUUUUUUUUUUUUUUUUUUUUUUUUUUUGGCAAAUAAAAUUGGCCUAGAAUAGUCUGUGGUUGCCUUGUUUCCUUAUGUAGCCAUAUCUUUUUGUAACUUUGACGAUUAAAUAGAAAUAUCUCAUAUAACAUUUAAAAAAAUGUACAAACCUCUAUCAGGUCAAGUGAAUUUAUAUUCCUCUAUCAGCUAAUCAGACAUAGUAAGUUUUUUAUUCAUUUGAAGAGUGUAUUAAGUAAACCAAUAAAAGAACCCAGUGUCAAUUGAUCAGUGAUAUUUUUGCCAGGGAAAAAUUAACCUGAAUGUUACUGGAAGCAAAACCACUUAACAAAAGACAUGGUCAAAAUGGUAGUGGGGAUGGAGAAUUACAUUCUUUCUUCGUCACGGGAGGCCAUGCCUGCACAGCAAUGAAUAGCCUCAUAAGGGCAUGACAAUUCUCUGACCUCUCCUUCUACAGCCUCUCAUUUUAGUUAUGCAGGCACUGCUUCUGUAUAUAUAGUCUGCUUUCCCUUGGGAAACUGAAUAGAAACCAUACUGUUUCAACUGUAACAAUGGUGUUAGUUCCUUUCUUUUCCCAUUCCUUAAUAACCUGUUAUGAAAUCUGAGUCAAUUCAGCAAAGUUCAGAGAUGUGUUUCGUGCAGGCAGAAGAAGGAGGCUGACAUUGAGGCUGCAGAGGGGGCACCAGCCAUCACUCAUAGUUGUGAACAACAUGCUCAAGAGACCUCCUGGCCAUGUACUGUCCUCUGCCCAAGCUGAGAGCAGUGCUUCCAUCAGAGCUAGAGAUUUCCUCUCCUGGAAGAGGAUGUGAUGUGAUGGGAAGGGGCAAAGGGGUUGUAGCACGUUGCACCACAUAAAACUGGCUUUUAUUAGCUGUGUUCCUCACAGGGCAACUGCUCCACAGCUGCAGUUUUAUAGCUCAGGGUGAGCAUCUCCAGAGGCUCUGCUUCAGGGCUAUGAACAGCUCAGUGUCCAUCUGUGCGGUCUUCAGUUAGCUAUAAGAAAAAAUAAAUAGCCACACAGUAUCCAGCACUCCUGGAAGAGGAGGAAUAGUUUUCUUACAGAUUUAAGUAUUUUCAUCUUUCACCCUCUCCAUUUGCACACCUUUAUGUUCUGCCAAGUAUUCCCUCUUAAACAGAUACACAUCUUUGUCCCAGACUUAAUUCCCGCCAUCAGCUUUGCUUUCUCUGCAAGCAUCAUGCUGUUGAAAUCACUAGUGAAAUGUACAAAAAAUGUUUGUAGUCAUACAUGGAUCAGUUUGGCUUACAAACACACGCUUGGAAAGUGGAAAUUUUCAGCUCAUUAGUGCCUCCCAUUUUUGCUCUAUGUAGAAGCUGUGCUCGUGUCAUGGUUGCUUGUGUCUUUGGAAGAUAGAGUAUUUUUAGAUUAUUGGCACCAGAAACACAGGAGAGACUGGCUCAGAAGUCUAAGCUAAGCUCCAUGAUGAUCACAACUUCUUUGGUUCAGAAAGUGGUGUUUGCUUCUUGCUCCUGCUCUCUCCUCCACCCUCCGGUUGAAGAAUUCAGCUUUUUUACCCUGGACAAAAAGCCAUGGGGAAACUGAUACAACUUUUUUUUUUUUUUUUUUUUUUUUUUUUUUUUUUUAAUUUAAACAUAAUUAUUGAUCAAAUUGAUCAAACACAGGUUUGAAAGCCCUGUGUCCAGUGUCCCUUCUCAAAUCCACGCCCCCUUCACACUCACUAAACUGCAUCUUGUACCUGUUUUUUAAUAGACACAAACUGAUACACAGCUGGUGAUGAGAAAGGUAAACAAAGAGAGGCAGAAGCAAUGUCAGCCCAUGCAUGAGCUUGUAGUAAUUGUUCCUCAGACCAGAAAAACUAAUACUUCUCUUUCUUCUUCAGGAAGGACUUUCUCUCAAGAGAGCCUGUAAACACUGGCAGGCAAAAAGGCAGGGAAGGAGUAAGUCACAAGCUGGAGAAGUCAGAUGGUAUCAGUAGAGAUUUUAGUAGACAGUAAAACAGCACAGGGCUGCAUGCCUGUAGCAUGUGCAGUUUCCAGAAGGGUGUCUAUCCCUUCCUCUCAGAUAAGAUAGUGUUAAGAAGGUCCAGUAUUAGAGAACAAGAAAAGGAAAGCAAUAUACUUCAACUCCUGGCUCAUGCCCCAGGCUAUGCCACAGGCGAGGUAUGCAUUACUGGGGAACAUGUGGUUUACAGGAAAAAAUACCUGAAGGUGUGUGUUGUGGUCUAAUAUUGGCCAAACACCAGGCACUCAUGAAAGCCAUUCAUUCACCCUUUUCUGCUACAGUUGUACAGAGGAGAGAGAACAAAAAUAACAAAAGGCUCAUGGGUUGCAAUAAGUACUGUGAGAAAAACACUCUAAGGGCAAAAAAAAGGUUCAAAUUUAAAGGUAUUUAUUCCACUUACUACAUCUGAUCUAGAUGAUAAUCAUAGAUAGUGGUGAUUUUAAUUUAUGAUACGCAAUUUUGUUAAUGGUAAUGUUAUAAAUGAAAAUUAACCCAGCCGAAUUAAAAAAAAAAUUAAAAUAAAAAUUUUAUUUCAGUGAUCAAAUUCUAUCUGAGCCAGCCACAAAGAAAAGGACAGUACCAAGCCCAGGAUUGGCACUGGGUGAGUCACAGGUUUGACUACUCCAGCAGAGAGUCUCCCUAUGCCCCACACCACCCUCUUGGUACAAGCAGUUUUUAAAGGAAAUAUUCCGCCCGAGGCUGGGAUUUCAGCAAUCCAUCUUUUCUUCCCAUUCAAAGUCCCACAUAUUCAUAAAGUCUCUUUUCUCUGUGUUGGGGUGGAACAAUUCGGUGUCUGGUGGUGAUGAAUCUUCUUGAUGGAGUUACUGGAACACGGCAUUCAGAUGUAUUAGCCUGGAGGAUUUCAGUGAUCCCAAUCUAGAGUCCUUGCCAUUCCUGUAUCACCUCCUGUAUCACCAUCUCCAGGUGAGCUGCAUGUUGUCAGAGACUGGUUUUCGAAUAUGUGGGGGCAACUCCCAAUGCCCUCCCAUAUUUGAAAACCAUGUGUGCUUCCAACAAUAUCAAAUAUUACAUAUACCAUAUUAUACUGGCGCGAAUUACAUUCAUUACACAUAACAGCUACAAAAAUAAAGAUCACAUGAAUUCAGAUAUAAAUUGAACAAAACACUUGGCAAAUGUGAAGUCAUUUUAUCUGAUGUAUGUUUUGUGAAGAGCGGUCUGUCUAAUAGUUUGAACACUGAAGAGAGAAAAUCAGUAUCAACAACGUAUGCUCUCUGACACAAUGGAGACUACUUAACUGUUAAUAGGACACCUUAUGUAUCCAGGAGAAUUGCAAAUGAACAUUUUUUAGGUCAAGGCUUUUAUAGGUAAAAAUUGGUUCAGCAAAACUAAAAUGAAAAAUAAAAAUUUUAUUUAGUAUCGAAUUGUCUCUGAGGCAGACACAAGGAAAAGGACAGUGUCGAGCCCAGGGUCAGCACUGGGUGCAUGGCAGGAAGGCCACCUCUCGGCAGAGGUUCCCCUGGACGCAUAACACCACCCUCUUGGACCCAGCAGUUCUUAUAGGAAAUUUUCUGCCUGAGGCUAAGAUUUCGGCAAUCUGUCUCUUUUUUCCAUUCCAAGUCCCACAUAUUCAUAAAGUUUCUUUUCUCCAGGUCGAGGCUGAACAGUCUGAGCCAGGUGUGGACGAUUUUCCCUGAUGGAAUUACAGGAACCGUGGCAUUCAGAUGUAUCAGCCCGGAGGAUUCCAGCGAUCCCAAUCUUGGGUCGUUACCGGAAUGAUCAAUGCCUAGACGAUCCUGUAUCACCUCAAGAAACAACCCAUCUCCGGGCAAGCCACAUGUAUGAAAUUGUAGUGGCGGGGCUACAGAGGUAUCUUCUGUGAGAAGCUGCUGGAAGUUUCUUCCAUGUGCCAGGAAAAUCCCUGGUGGCUCCAAAGAUGGACAUGCUGCUGGCCAAGGCUGGGCCAACUAGAAAUUAUGGUAAUGCCUCUAUGAUAACACACU